GAUUAUUAGAUUAACAUACUGUUUCAGUAGAAGUGUAAAAGCUACGCUAAAUCAAAGUUGGUAUUUAUUAAUCUAUUUCAGAUUGGGAAGAUCUUACUUCAGCUGCCUACUCUAGUGCUCAUGGUUUUGUGGUGCUCAAGCAAUAUAGGGAAGACAGAUCAAAUAUGUAAAUGAUCCAGAAUUUGCAUACUAGCAGACUAGCAGAUUAUGUUGGUAAAUAGGUCAACCAGAAAAAUUCGUAAUCAUGAAACCGAGCUCGUACCUGGUGACCAAAAACCCUAGCCAUAAUGAUGUCAUUAUAGCCAGAGAGUACUCGAGCAACAUCACGAGUCUCCUCACGCUUGCCCAUUUGGAUAUCAUCAGGACCCAAAUAGAUAGCAUGCCCACCAAGUAAGAAGAAUCCUGUCUCAAAUGAAACACGGGUCCUCAUUGA